rnacentral:lncRNA from 1 species
GGUAUAAUCAAAAAUCUACAAUCCUACAGAGCCUCAUCAGUGCUCUACUGAGUCAAUGUCCAUAAAACAUUAACAGCAUUUUGAGGAAGUGAUUUCACCAGUAACCGGAAAAAGGUUAGAGUUACACUCAUCAAGAAAUAGUGGAAAUAACUAAAGAGAAACUAGCGCUUGGACUGAAAACAACCCAAUUUGUGACAUGCAGACUCAAAGAAUUUGGCUUUUUCUCGUUAUCUUUUCUUGCAUAACUGUGAUUUUUCUCCCCUGUACGUGCUCAGGCUUGAACACACCAGAAAUGAUACUGGAGAGCACAGUGUUUAUGGCCUUCAAAGGCGGAGAGCUCACUAUUAAAUGUGUUCUCAGGAAACCAAUAAACCAAACUAAAGAUUUCCUGAGGUGCUUUAAUCCAUCAAAUGCUGAGAUAUUCAGGGUUCCCAUCCCUGAAACAGGUAGCAUAGAGACAACAACCAAACUGGAAUUGAAGUUGACAAACCUGGUAACUUCAGGAGAAUAUCAUUGCCAGUAUAAAACGGUGAAAGAGUCCUGGUUUCUUCGAGUGAGAGAGGAAUACCAAUCGUGAUGACUCUGGAAAAAAGCAGACAAAGGAAAAUCAGCAAAACCCAGAGGAAGAGGAGUAUAAUGUGGAUGUAACGGGGGCUCAGUCUACGUCUUUUUAUGCUGUGAGUUACACCUUUCCAUAUCAUAUUCAAUUUGCAAACAGAAUUUUGUGCGCUCCAACAUAUAGUCACAUAUCCGGAUUGGAACCUAAUUUUUAAAAUUCCCACAGAGUCUUGAUUCCCGGCCCAGGUCUGUUUAUGACGUGUUGGACUGCUCAGAUGCCAACAAAGAGCCAAGCAAGAACAAACUGAAACCCAAGAAAAGUGAACUUCUGAACACGGUCUGUUUUAAAAAAUAUAUUAAACUUCUGUGUUUAUUGGACAAAAACAUGUUGUAUCAACGGAAUGCAAAAGAUUAUCAUCUGUGUGAUGUCUUCUGCUUUGUUACAGGUGCAACCAAACAUAGAACAGCCAGAUGAAGGUGUUUUUGAGUCUGUUUAUGAGAACAUCUGAAUUAUGAAUGAACAGGCUUGGAAAAAGAGCAUGGUACAUGCCAUCAUUCUUCUGACAUCUAUGCCAAAAAAAUGUAUUUAUUGUAACACACACCACAGACAGACACACACACACACACACACACACACACACACACACACACACACACACACACACACACACACACACACAUUGUUCCAAUUGCUCUUCUUUAAAGAUCUGUGCUGAACUAAAUUAAUAAAUCUUAGAUGGACCCAUAAUCUUUUCGUUGC